rnacentral:rRNA from 1 species
CCUACGGGUGGCAGCAGUGAGGAAUAUUGGUCAAUGGGCGGGAGCCUGAACCAGCCAAGUCGCGUGAGGGAAGACGGUCCUAUGGAUUGUAAACCUCUUUAGGCGGGGAGCAAUGCCGGGCACGUGUGCCCGGAGGGAGAGUACCCGCAGAAUAAGCAUCGGCUAACUCCGUGCCAGCAGCCGCGGUAAUACGGAGGAUGCGAGCGUUAUCCGGAUUUAUUGGGUUUAAAGGGUGCGUAGGCGGAAGGUUAAGUCAGCGGUCAAAUGUCGGUGCUCAACACCGGCCUGCCGUUGAAACUGGCGUUCUUGAGUGGGCGAGAAGUAUGCGGAAUGCGUGGUGUAGCGGUGAAAUGCAUAGAUAUCACGCAGAACUCCGAUUGCGAAGGCAGCAUACCGGCGCCCAACUGACGCUGAAGCACGAAAGCGUGGGUAUCGAACAGGAUUAGAUACCCCUGUAGUC